UAAGUAGGGUGCGAGCGUUAAUCGGAAUUACUGGGCGUAAAGCGUGCGCAGGCGGUUUUGUAAGCCAGAUGUGAAAUCCCCGGGCUCAACCUGGGAAUGGCAUUUGGAACUGCAAGACUAGAGUAUGGCAGAGGAGACUAGAAUUUCUGGUGUAGCAGUGAAAUGCGUAGAUAUCAGAAGGAAUACCGAUGGCGAAGGCAGGGCUCUGGGUCAAUACUGACGCUAAUGCACGAGAGCGCCGGCAGCAAAGGUG
rnacentral:rRNA from 1 species